CAGCCGCCGCGGUAAUACGUAGGGUGCAAGCGUUAAUCGGAAUUACUGGGCGUAAAGCGUGCGCAGGCGGUUAUAUAAGACAGAUGUGAAAUCCCCGGGCUCAACCUGGGAACUGCAUUUGUGACUGUAUAGCUAGAGUACGGCAGAGGGGGAUGGAAUUCCGCGUGUAGCAGUGAAAUGCGUAGAUAUGCGGAGGAACACCGAUGGCGAAGGCAAUCCCCUGGGCCUGUACUGACGCUCAUGCACGAAAGCGUGGGGAGCAAACAGGAUUUGAUACCCCCGUAGUCCCUGUCUCUUAUAA
rnacentral:rRNA from 1 species